rnacentral:tRNA from 2 species
GGCGCGUUGGCGGAGCGGUUACGCAGAGGUCUGCAAAACCUUGAAGACGGGUUCGACUCCCGUACGUGCCUCCA